AACUAACAGAUGCAAAUAAGAGUAUGCAAAGGAAUCUAUCUUGAUUCUUUCUUUUUUACUUAAUGAAAGGGGAAAUAAAACAUAGGUCUUUGUAUUCCUACCUAUUAGUAUGAUUCAUUACCUUACUACUUCUAAGNGUGACUGAAAAGGUAUACGUUAGUUUUUUUAUAUUCUAAUCUAUUUUUUUGUAUCAUUUGGGCGGCAUGGCCGAGUGGUAAGGCGGGGGACUGCAAAUCCUUUUUCCCCAGUUCAAAUCCGGGUGUCACCUGAUCGACAAGAUAAUCAAAAAAAAAAAAUUCUAUUCGAUUUCCAGUCUACGAAAAAGAAAACUCUUUCUUUUGGGUAAUCCAUAGUAAAAGAAUUUACUAGCCUGUUUUCCAAUUGUUUUAGAGAAUGAAUCGGGACGGGAUACAAUAAGGAUUAGAUCCAAGGGAACUAACAGAUGCAAAUAAGAGUAUGCAAAGGAAUCUAUCUUGAUUCUUUCUUUUUUACUUAAUGAAAGGGGAAAUAAAACAUAGGUCUUCGUAUUCCUACCUAUUAGUAUGAUUCAUUACCUUACUACUUCUAAGUAUAUUUUUUAUUUAUGCUUCCAAUUUGUCAAUUCUACUCCAAAUCUGAUAAGAACUUGCUAGAUGUUCUAAUUGGAUGUUUCGCCAAUGGUGUUAGGAGGGAAUGGAAUCCUUUUUUGACUCUGUACCAGCGAUUCCACUAUUAUUAUAAGAUAUUCUCCAAUUUUUAGUGAAAAAGAAAAACGAAAAGAAUACAAGAAAAAUGAGUAAACAAUAAAAAAAGAAUUAAUAAAAGAAUUGAUUCAUAUUGAUAUAGAUAGGAGACAUAAUUGACAUGGAUAUAGUAAGUCUUGCUUGGGCUGCUUUAAUGGUAGAUUUUACAUUUUCCCUUUCCCUUGUAGUAUGGGGAAGAAGUGGACUCUAAAGGUAAUACUAAUUGAGUUAAGGCAUCAAACUGUCUCAAUUUUUUUCUAGCUGGGGUUCUUCCAGUUUUGAACUAUUUUAUCAAUACUAAUUAAUGAAAUAAAUUUUUAUUUAGAUUUAGAAAUUCUAUUGUAUUCCAGUGGUGUAAUAUAUAUAUAAUCUUGAAAAAAAAAAAAGCUAUUUGAAUCAAACAAAUAUUGAAAUUGUUGCCAUCUUGAUAUCCCGGGAAUCCAGANUAAUUGAGUUAAGGCAUCAAACUGUCUCAAUUUUUUUCUAGCUGGGGUUCUUCCAGUUUUGAACUAUUUUAUUAAUACUAAUUAAUGAAAUAAAUUUUUAUUUAGAUUUAGAAAUUCUAUUGUAUUCUAGUGGUGUAAUAUAUAUAUAAUCUUGAAAAAAAAAAAAGCUAUUUGAAUCAAACAAAUAUUGAAAUUGUUGCCAUCUUGAUAUCCCGGGAAUCCAGAUAAUUGGAAACGGAUUACUAUUCCAAACUUAGUUAUUUUGAAUAUUUAUAUUCAAUUUAAUCAAAUUAAAUUUUGGAAUACUAAAAAGAUUCUUUCUUUUUAUUUAUUAGUUACCGGGAUUCUGAAAAGAAUCGGAAAUCUCAAAAUGAAAAUAAGAAGAGUAAAAAUUGCGUUGCUUUUUCAUUAUUUCAGAUUGAUUGGAACCAAUACAAAGAGAAUCGAUUUAGAUGAAAUGUGGACGCCAUGGAAUUGACAUUCCAUCUAUAUCCAUAGAUCGAUAUCCAUAUAAAAAUCUCAAAAUGAAAAUAAGAAGAAUAAAAAUUGCGUUGCUUUUUCAUUAUUUCAGAUUGAUUGGAACCAAUACAAAGAGAAUCGAUUUAGAUGAAAUGUGGACGCCAUGGAAUUGACAUUCCAUCCAUAUCCAUAGAUCGAUAUCCAUAUAUCCAUAUGAAAAGAAAAUGAUAGAUUGGUUCCUCCAUAUUCACUCUUUUUUUUUUUAGUAAAACAUUCUAUUUUUAUCCUUCCUACCGUAAUAGAUAAUAUAGAAGAAACAAAUUGAUUUUAUUUCUUUCUACUAUAUGGAUUUAAUAGAAUUCUGCUGGUUGUAACCUUCUUUCAUUUUAUUUUAAAGAAUAAAAUUCAUUAGUCGUCCAAUAACACGUAACAAUAAUAGCGGUAGAGACAUAUCCAAGAAUGACUGACCUAUUCAUAAAAACGUUCCUUUAUUCAUUAUUCAUUUAGUCUUCUUUUUUUUAUAUUAUCUGGCUGGGGGGUGGAGCACAACUUCACACCAAAGCACAAUACCUUCCUACCGUAAUAGAUAAUAUAGUAGAAACAAAUUGAUUUUAUUUCUUUCUACUAUAUGGAUUUAAUAGAAUUCUGCUGGUUGUAACCUUCUUUCAUUUUAUUUUAAAGAAUAAAAUUCAUUAGCCGUCCAAUAACACGUAACAAUAAUAGCAGUAGAGACAUAUCCAAGAAUGACUGACCUAUUCAUAAAAACGUUCCUUUAUUCAUUAUUCAUUUAGUCUUCUUUUUUUUAUAUUAUCUGGCUGGGGGGUGAAGCACAACUUCACACCAAAGCACAAUCUAGUUGACAGACAACUGCCAACUUGAUUAUUUUUUUAUGC
rnacentral:lncRNA from 1 species